CUCUCCGAGGAGCGUUGCGACAGGGAUGCCCUGCCAGGCUCGGACAGAACGUCAGUCAAACAACGGCGCUCCAAUCAU
rnacentral:ncRNA from 2 species